GCCGGCUGCCCGCUGCCGGGCGAUGGUGCCUCGCGGCAACCGGCGGCAUGUCGCAGUUCAUGUACUUCAGCGAGUCAAACCAAAGUUCCUUUCCCCCAAUUCCUUCUCAACCAUGGCUCAGAUAACCCCCACGACAGUCUCGUUGUGGAAAUACAAGACGCGUCAAAGAACCGACAAGAAACACUUGCGUUACAGUGUGUGUAUUCACAUUGAUGUGGACGUUGAAGAACCAGGAACGUCGGAGAACCCAACGCGGUCGUUUGAGAUUCAUAAUAUCGGCUCACACAGCUUUUGGCUGUGAUAAUAUAUAUUAUAUGAUAUAGAUAUCUGUGUAGGCUAUAUGAUAAUAUUUAGAUAUAGAGCUCCAGGACUCCCGUGUGUUCUAGAAUAUUUACAGAACACGGCUAAAGGGUGUGCGCCUCGCCAUUGCGAUACAUCCACUGUAAACAGAGCGCAUGGUGGCUGGCUGCAAGCUGCUCAGGGCCACACCCCCACCCUCCUCCUUGACACGCCCACCGAAACAGCGCAUUUGGGGGAAGCUCAAUGUGCGACUGGCUCGGAGUGGCUGUAACUCUGCACCACGGCUGAAUUUAGGGAACGUCUUUGAAUACUGUGUUAGUUGCACACUAAUACCUAUAUUAAAGAAUACAUAAAAUAGCAUGUCAUGGGACCUUUAAGCUCUUCGAAAAACGAGGACAGAUAGGCAAGCUUCUUGAGAGAACGUUGGCCCCCAUGACUCAAGACGAUGACGUUGAUGCAGGGCGGGAAUGUGUUCUCAAGUGGCUGUGUGUGUACCUCAACGAAGACCCAGCAAAUCUUGUCAGGGAGUUCGUGAGACUAGAUGAAGGGUGACGUCACAUUCAGGGCUCCGCUCUGAUAAACACUCUUCUGGUGUGUAAAGACUCUACAGGUCGCGGGAGGUAUGUAUGCCACAUGUAUGUUUUUGCUCUGUGCAUUUAGGGUUUUAGCCAUUUUAUUCAGGUGUAAAUGAUUUAAGAUCAAAACUCAAAUCAAUGGUUGGAAAAAAAUAACUUUUUUUGCUAAAUCUAUUCAUUUGAUGAGUAGGCUAUAAGGAUAUAAGGAUACAACCCGGUAUAAGGACAACGCCCAUACACUUUAUUAUACUUGCAUUACAUACACGGUAUCACGCCAAGGCGUAAAAUAGAUACGUCUGUCCACAUCGCAAGGCGUGUUCAGGGUCAUGCUUUGCCUGACCAAAGCGUCACCCUGAACACGCAUCCUUCAUUCGAAAUGAAUGGGGGAAUAGCACCAACAGCGAUACGUUCUCCUAGCAUUUGGUGAAAUUGUUACGUAGCCAUAUUAGUCGUUAUUAUCUGAAUGGGAAAUGCAAUAUUUUAGGACAGAUACACCAUUAAACGUGUUUCUAAUGACAUUUCUAGCGAGAAAUGUACAUUUUCCUUGCAUAAUCUUCAGUCAGUGAAUGUGUAUGAUCUUUAUUAAUCUUUAUUAUCUGAAUGGGAAAUGCAAUAUUUUAGGAUCGAUUCACCGUUAAACGUGUUUCUAGUAACAUUUCUAGCGAGAAAUAUACUUUUUACUUGCAUAAUCUUCAGUCAGUGAUUGUGUCUGAUCUUUAGUUUUAUAGUUAUUAGGAAGAUUUAAUCGGCUCGCUCGCAUUUUUCAACGACGUCAGGUUGCUAGGGACGCUGCUUUCGCUAAACUAGCAGCUCACGUGUUUCUUGCGUUUGUUAUUAAACCGUUACUUUAUGUAACUUUUAAUGAUAUUGUAAUAACCACAGGCGAGGUAUUGAGCGAAGUAAGCUUGAUAGCAGGUUUAUUGGAUUCCACAAUCGGACAGGCAGGCACAGCUCCACCGGAAAACUACAACAACCAAAACUCCCGCCCGGAAAGAAACCCCCGGAACCCCCUCUCAGAAGGCCCGCCCCUUCCUCCCAAACCCUGAUACGCUACAAUAUCAUCUUGUUAGAAACCCGUUUAUCUGAGAGCCAACCC